rnacentral:rRNA from 1 species
UGGGGAAUAUUGCACAAUGGGCGCAAGCCUGCUGCAGCCAUGCCGCGUGUGUGAAGAAGGCCUUCGGGUUGUAAAGCACUUUCAGCGAGGAGGAAGGGUAGUGUGUUAAUAGCACAUUGCAUUGACGUUACUCGCAGAAGAAGCACCGGCUAACUCCGUGCCAGCAGCCGCGGUAAUACGGAGGGUGCAAGCGUUAUUCGGAAUUACUGGGCGUAAAGCGCACGCAGGCGGUUUGUUAAGUCAGAUGUGAAAUCCCCGCGCUUAACGUGGGAACUGCAUUUGAAACUGGCAAGCUAGAGUCUUGUAGAGGGGGGUAGAAUUCCAGGUGUAGCGGUGAAAUGCGUAGAGAUCUGGAGGAAUACCGGUGGCGAAGGCGGCCCCCUGGACAAAGACUGACGCUCAGGUGCGAAAGCGUGGGGAGCAAACA